GAUGAAGAACGUAGCGAAAUGCGAUAAGUAAUGCGAAUUGCAGAAUUUCCGUGAGUCAUCGAAUCUUUGAACGCACAUUGCGCCCCUUGGCAUUCCGGGGGGCAUGCCUGUCCGAGCGUCAUAGUCAAAACUCAAGCCCUAAUAGCUUGGUGUUGGGCAAUUCGCCAAUUAUUUGGCGGGCCUGAAAAUCCUAGGCGGUUGCCUCUUGAUUUCAAGUGUAGUAAUAAAAUCCUCUCUUGAUCUUCAAAAUGUAGCCAGCUCACUCUGCAGUAUUAUGCAAAGAAAGUUUUUGACCUCGGAUCAGGUAGGGACACCCGCUGAACUUAAGCAUAUCAAUAAGCGGAGGA
rnacentral:misc_RNA from 1 species